UUUGACAUAUUGUACUCCUCUGCACGCCACUGUUGUAAUGCACUGUUAUCUGAGUUACUGUCAGCUUGAACCAGUCUGGCCCUUCUCCUCUGACCUCUCUCAUUAACAAGCCGUUUUCACCCGCAGAGCUGCUACUUACUGGGUACUCUCUUUGUUUUUGCAGCAUUCUCUGUCAGCUCGAGAGACCGCCGUGCACGACAAUCUCAAGUGAUCAGCAAUUUCUGAGGUUCUCAAACCACCCCGUCAGACACCAAUUUCACGGUCAAAGUCACUUAGACCACCUUUCUGAUGUUUGGUCUGAACCUCAUGACCAUGUCUGCAUGCUCUUAAGCAUUGAGUUGCUGUCACGAUGGAUGAUUCGCUAUUUGCAUUAAUGAGGAGGUGUAUAGGUGUACCUAAUAAAGUGGCCACUGAGGGUAGUUUAUUAUUGCAGCUGGCUAGUCACUUUGGUGAUUACAAUAUUUAUUGCACGUUUGCAAAUUGUAAAAGCGCUUGGCUAAAUUGGUCUCUGAGAUAUGCAUCGCUGAUCUGAAUGAGAGACCAACUACUGGGGAGAUAUAAAUUGUUCAUCGGUGAAGAAUGCAGAAUAAUCACUUGGCAACUGUGCAAGCUUUUGUGAGAUAUAAAGUUUUCACGUCCUUGCCAACGAGCUAAAUGCUGUGCGUCCGCUAGUGAUCCAAUGAGAUACGACUCCCGAUUAACAGUAGGUUGCUAAAGACAGAGACAGAUCUAUUCUGCAGGACACUAGAACAAGG